UAACCUCAGGAUACUCGUUCC
rnacentral:miRNA from 12 species